UAGAUAGAUUAUUGUAUUCGAUUGUAUUUACGACGCAAUUCAUGGUCUAUUCAGUUGUUUUUAAACGGAAAGUGAGUUAAUUAACAUAAUAGACUCCU
rfam:Nicotiana attenuata strain TT chromosome 6, whole genome shotgun sequence.